UCCGGUGACGAUAGCUGCACGGCUCCACCUGUUCCCAUUCCGAACACAGUAGUUAAGCGUGUAAACGUCGAAAGUACUUGGCUGGAGACGGCCCGGGAGGAUAGAAAGUUGCCGGUU
rnacentral:rRNA from 1 species